GUGCGUCGGGUGUGCGCUGCUGCACCAGCUCCGUCAUCUCGGGCGCGUUUUGAGUCACGCCCUCACCCUGCGUUUGAGACUGGGUUUGGUGAUGCUCCGGGUGCUGUAGUCGAUGGCUCGGAUGGUAGUGCUGGCGCUGCUGGUGCUGCUGGUGCUGCUGGUGCUGAUACUCGUGCUGGUGCUGGUGCUGCUGGUGGUCGUUCCUGCUUUCCUGCACUGUAACACUCCGCCGCUGCUCCCCUCCCUCAGAACCACCACCACCAACAUAAGCAACAGGGUUUUCGGGUCCGGCUCCGGACCGACAACCUUCUGUCAAAUAGCUGUCUCGGUAGUGGUGGGAUGCCACCGCUGCGUCCGCAGCUCUCACCGGCGGCAGCGGUGGCGGCGCUAGCGGGGCCGGCGGCUGCGAGGCCGCAGCCACCACGACGCUACCGCCACUUUCCUGAAUGCCCGGGAUGUGCUGCUGCGGUAUCACGAUACGCUCGCUCGCCGCAACCUGUCCUCCCCCCGCGUUGAGGAGCUCCGAAACCACAAUCUGGGUCGGGUGAAGCU
rnacentral:lncRNA from 1 species